rnacentral:rRNA from 1 species
AACGAACGCUGGCGGCAUGCCUAACACAUGCAAGUCGAACGAGACCUUCGGGUCUAGUGGCGCACGGGUGCGUAACGCGUGGGAACCUGCCUUUAGGUUCGGAAUAACUCAGAGAAAUUUGAGCUAAUACCGGAUAAUGUCUUCGGACCAAAGAUUUAUCGCCUUUAGAUGGGCCCGCGUUGGAUUAGCUAGUUGGUGGGGUAAAGGCCUACCAAGGCGACGAUCCAUAGCUGGUCUGAGAGGAUGAUCAGCCACACUGGGACUGAGACACGGCCCAGACUCCUACGGGAGGCAGCAGUGGGGAAUAUUGGACAAUGGGCGAAAGCCUGAUCCAGCAAUGCCGCGUGAGUGAUGAAGGCCUUAGGGUUGUAAAGCUCUUUUACCCGAGAUGAUAAUGACAGUAUCGGGAGAAUAAGCCCCGGCUAACUCCGUGCCAGCAGCCGCGGUAAU